rnacentral:tRNA from 1 species
AAGGAUUUAAGUUAAAUUAAAACUAAUAACCUUCAAAGUUAUAAAUAAAGAACAUCUUUAAGCCUU